rnacentral:lncRNA from 1 species
AGUCUCCAGAAACCUGCCUGGGAACCUGGUCUACCACUCCUUUGCCCUAUCUCAGAUCAAGGGCUAUAUUAUCUCCUCAUAUCAAGUCAAGGUGAUGCUACUGAAGGCUUUGACAGCUAUUUCCAGGAUUAAAUAGUGGCAUUAAACAGUGACACAGCUGUGGAAAUCCGAGGACUUUGUUUAAAACAGCCAGCAUCCCACAAAGACGGCAUCCUAUCUUCUACAAGAACGAUCUCAAUGGCCUGAAGGACCCUGACUGCUGCUGCUCCUGGCUUUUCCCAACUGAAUCAACUCUUCAGAAAAACUAAAGAAACUUUGCUACAGAAAAUGUAAGAGAGCCCAUUUGCCCAGCAUCUCUCUGGCUCUCAACUACAUCUGCACAAAAUGGUCCAGCUAUUGAUCCGCAAAAGUGCAGGAAGAAGGCUGGAAAUGGCGUGUUCUAGGUCUAGGUAACUUGCAAUUGAUCCAAAAACUGUUUCUGGUUAGUCUUAUCUGGGAAAGUGGAUGGCGAAUUGAUCCUUUCAAGUUCAAAUCCAAUUAUGUCAACCUCCGGCUUAAAACCUUCAGUGGCCUCUCCUUUCCAUUUAGGAUCAAGAGCACAACUCCUGCGGGGAUGAACCCCUCAGCAGCCCAGACUUCGCCCCAGCCCUCCCUCUCAGUACUUCUUCCACUCACUGGCCUCCAGUGCUACAACUAGACUCAUGGCUCCAGGAUCUUGCAAUCCACCUCAGGCUUAUUCUGUUCUGAUUGUGGGUCUGUUGUCAUUUCUGCAGGAAGCCCGGCCUGGAGACCCAGGAGGGCACUAACAGAGUUCACUGUGCCUUGUCACAGAAUUGAUGGCUACUGUCAGCACCAAGCUAAGCUCCAGCUUCAUUUCAACCUUCAUGACUAGCUGAGCUCAUGAAUUAAAAAUGGGGCUUCCUGUAUCUGCAAUGUCUUCCCUGAAGGCUUUCAUCCAUGAAAGCCUCAUCCUGCACCCUAGCUGGGGCCUGCACAUCUUCGCCGUGGCUCUCCUUCGGCUGAACAGUAUCUCUAUGAAGAGGUUUGAACAUAACAAUUUUUCUUGUACAUUUGCUCUUAUUAGCACAGAAUUACUUUAAAAAGAAAGAAAGAAAGAAAGAAAGAAAGAAAGAAAGAAAGAAAGAAAGAAAGAAAGAAAGAAGAACCUGCCUUUCUAUAGUACAACUAUUUUUUAAAAUAAAGACUGUUUAUUUUGAGGUAGUGCCCAGAGUACAGGCACAUUGGUUUUAGUACCACUUUAAGCUAAAAUAAAACUGUACAUUAAAAAAAA